UAUAGGGGGGGCAAGCGUUGUUCGGAAUUACUGGGCGUAAAGGGCUCGUAGGUGGCCAACUAAGUCAGACGUGAAAUCCCUCAGCUUAACUGGGGAACUGCGUCUGAUACUGGAUGGCUUGAGUUUGGGAGAGGGAUGCGGAAUUCCAGGUGUAGCGGUGAAAUGCGUAGAUAUCUGGAGGAACACCGGUGGCGAAGGCGGCAUCCUGGACCAACACUGACACUGAGGAGCGAAAGCCAGGGGAGCAAACGGG
rnacentral:rRNA from 1 species